rnacentral:rRNA from 1 species
AUUGAACGCUGGCGGCAGGCCUAACACAUGCAAGUCGAGCGAGCGGCGGACGGGUGAGUAAUGUAUGGGGACUGCCCGAUAGAGGGGGAUAACUACUGGAAACGGUGGCUAAUACCGCAUACUAUCUGCUAACCCAUAUGGGAUUAGCUGGUAGGUGGGGUAAAGGCUAACCUAGGCGACGAUCUCUCGCUGGUCUGAGAGGAUGAUGAGCAACACUGGGCUGGAGAAACGGCCCAGCCUCCUACGGAGGCAGCGUUGGGGAAUAUUGCAAAAUGGGCGAAAGCUGGCUGAAGAAAUGCCGCUUGUAUGAAGAAGGCCUUAGGGUUUAAAAGUACUUUAAGCGGGGAGGCGUUACCCGCAGAAGAAGCACCGGCUAACUCCGUGCCAGCAGCCGCGGUAAUUC